UGACUAUUUUUGUCUGAUU
rnacentral:snRNA from 1 species